rnacentral:ribozyme from 1 species
UGUUUUCUUCUUCUUUUUCCCUUUUCCUUCCUCUUUCUCUUCCCCCCUCUUUCUCUUCCUCGUUCUCUCUCCAAUACCCCCCUCUUCUUCAUUUGGAGAGGGAGAAGAAGGAAAGAGAGGGACAUGGAGAGA